GUUAUUAGCUUUGGUGGUAAAGGUAACGGCCCUAACAAGGGGGUUGAUACGUAGCCGACCUGAAGAGGUUAUUGGCCCACAUGGGGAUUGAGACCCGGCCCAAAUUCCUACGGGAGGCAGCAGUAGGGAAUUUUUCCCCAAUGGACGAAAGUCUGAUGGAGCAACGCCGCGUGAGUGAUGAAGGGUUUCGGCUCGUAAAACUCUGUUGUUGGAGAAGAACAGGUGUCAGAGUAACUGUUGACAUCUUGACGGUAUCCAACCAGAAAGCCACGGCUAACUACGUGCCAGCAGCCGCGGUAAUACGUAGGUGGCAAGCGUUGUCCGGAUUUAUUGGGCGUAAAGCGAGCGCAGGCGGUUUUUUAGGUCUGAUGUGAAAGCCUUCGGCUUAACCGGAGAAGUGCAUCGGAAACCGGGAGACUUGAGUGCAGAAGAGGACAGUGGAACUCCAUGUGUAGCGGUGAAAUGCGUAGAUAUAUGGAAGAACACCAGUGGCGAAGGCGGCUGUCUGGUCUGUAACUGACGCUGAGGCUCGAAAGCAUGGGUAGCGAACAGGAUUAGAUACCCUGGUAGUCCAUGCCGUAAACGAUGAGUGCUAAGUGUUGGAGGGUUUCCGCCCUUCAGUGCUGCAGCUAACGCAUUAAGCACUCCGCCUGGGGAGUACGACCGCAAGGUUGAAACUCAAAGGAAUUGACGGGGGCCCGCACAAGCGGUGGAGCAUGUGGUUUAAUUCGAUGCUACGCGAAGAACCUUACCAGGUCUUGACAUCUUCUGCCAACCUAAGAGAUUAGGCGUUCCCUUCGGGGACAGAAUGACAGGUGGUGCAUGGUUGUCGUCAGCUCGUGUCGUGAGAUGUUGGGUUAAGUCCCGCAACGAGCGCAACCCUUAUUGUUAGUUGCCAGCAUUCAGUUGGGCACUCUAGCAAGACUGCCGGUGACAAACCGGAGGAAGGUGGGGAUGACGUCAAAUCAUCAUGCCCCUUAUGACCUGGGCUACACACGUGCUACAAUGGACGGUACAACGAGUCGCGAAACCGCGAGGUCAAGCUAAUCUCUUAAAGCCGUUCUCAGUUCGGAUUGUAGGCUGCAACUCGCCUACAUGAAGUUGGAAUCGCUAGUAAUCGUGGAUCAGCAUGCCACGGUGAAUACGUUCCCGGGCCUUGUACACACCGCCCGUCACACCAUGAGAGUUUGUAACACCCAAAGCCGGUGAGGUAACCUUCGGGACCAGCCGUCUAAGUGACAGAGAUGGGG
rnacentral:rRNA from 2 species